rnacentral:lncRNA from 12 species
AUGGAAGACAUGAGCAAAAAAAAAAAGAAGAAGAAGAACCAUUUGUGUAAGGAAGCCUGUGAUCUGAGUGUUGAGUGUGAUACUCUCUGGACCAGCAGCAGUCACAGAGACCCCUUGAUCAUUAAGAAGAACGAACUCUUGGGAACAUUGCACUGGUGGUUGAGAAAGAGAGAAAGAAAGACUGAGAGAAGAGAACUCCCCUUUCCAGAGAAGACCAAUAUUUCAGAAGUACUAUAUUUUGAACACUUUAUGGCUUAGAGAACUUAACCUUCACAGAUAGUGGUCAUCGUUUUACCUCUUGGCACCAGACCACAUGCUUCUCCAAAAACAAAAAUGGUGGAUUACUUUUCUGCCUAAUUUGGGCCACAUGAUUGCAAAUGUUAGGUCUCAAGAUCCAAGUGACUUUUUUUUUUUACUAACACCUGAAGUGAUUAUAUUCACUUAGAGCUUUAUAAAGAAAACUCAAAGAAAUGAAUCAUGCUAUGUAAUCAUAUUUAUUAGGAAUUAAUAAAGUCAGCCAUAUAUUCA